rnacentral:snRNA from 1 species
AUCGCUUCUUGGCCUUUUGGCCAAGAUCAAGUGUAAAAUACAAAUAGUGGUUUGUAAUGGCGAAAAAUGGUUUCGCCAUUUUGGCCAUGUUGGUCUUGAACUCCUGACCUCAGGUGAUCUGCCUGU